rnacentral:tRNA from 1 species
UAUUUAUAUAGUUUAAAAAAAACAUUAUAUUUUCAUUAUAAAAUUAGCCCAUCUCUUAUAAAU